rnacentral:tRNA from 1 species
CGGGAAAUAGCUCAGCUUGGUAGAGCACUUGCUUCGGGAGUAAGGGGUCGCAGGUUCAAAUCCUAUUUUCCCGA